UGUAAAUAUCUGAUUCAUAUUA
rnacentral:siRNA from 1 species